rnacentral:tRNA from 1 species
UGGUAUCAGAGCUUGGUUUGGUU